AUUGAACGCUGGCGGCAUGCCUUACACAUGCAAGUCGAACGGUAGCGGGCCUUCGGGUGCCGACGAGUGGCGAACGGGUGAGUAAUGUAUCGGAACGUACCUUUCAGUGGGGGAUAACGUAGCGAAAGUUACGCUAAUACCGCAUAUUCUGUGAGCAGGAAAGCAGGGGAUCGCAAGACCUUGCGCUGAUUGAGCGGCCGAUAUCAGAUUAGCUAGUUGGUGAGGUAAAGGCUCACCAAGGCGACGAUCUGUAGCGGGUCUGAGAGGACGAUCCGCCAAACUGGAACUGCGACACGGUCCAGACUCCUACGGGAGGCAGCAGUGGGGAAUUUUGGACAAUGGGGGCAACCCUGAUCCAGCCAUGCCGCGUGAGUGAAGAAGGCCUUCGGGUUGUAAAGCUCUUUCGGCCGGGAAGAAAUCGUAUCAGCUAAUACCUGGUGCGGAUGACGGUACCGGCAUAAGAAGCACCGGCUAACUACGUGCCAGCAGCCGCCGUAACAC
rnacentral:rRNA from 1 species